GAUGAAGAACGCAGCGAAAUGCGAUAAGUAAUGUGAAUUGCAGAAUUCAGUGAAUCAUCGAAUCUUUGAACGCACAUUGCGCCCUCUGGUAUUCCGGGGGGCAUGCCUGUUCGAGCGUCAUUUCACCACUCAAGCCUCGCUUGGUAUUGGGCAACGCGGUCCGCCGCGUGCCUCAAAUCGACCGGCUGGGUCUUCUGUCCCCUAAGCGUUGUGGAAACUUUCGCUAAAGGGUGUUCGGGAGGCUACGCCGUAAAACAACCCCAUUUCUAAGGUUGACCUCGGAUCAGGUAGGGAUACCCGCUGAACUUAAGCAUAUCAAUAAGCGGAGGA
rnacentral:misc_RNA from 1 species